rnacentral:rRNA from 1 species
AUUGAACGCUGGCGGCAGGCCUAACACAUGCAAGUCGAGCGGAGCGGCGGACGGGUGAGUAAUGCCUAGGAAUCUGCCUGGUAGUGGGGGAUAACGUCCGGAAACGGGCGCUAAUACCGCAUACUAUCAGAUGAGCCUUGGUCGGUGUAGCUAGUUGGUGGGGGAAAGGCCUCCCAAGGGGACGAGCCGUAACUGGUCUGAGAGGAUGAUCAGUCACACUGGAACUGAGACAGGUUGCAGACUCCUACGGGAGGCAGCAGUGGGGAAUAUGGGACAAUGAGCGAAAGCCUGAUCCAGCCAUGCCGCGUGUGUGAAGAAGGUCUUCGGAUUGUAAAGCACGUUAAGUUGGGAGGCGUUACCAACAGAAUAAGCACCGGCUAACUUCGUGCCAGCAGCCGCGGUAAUC